rnacentral:lncRNA from 1 species
GACAUCAGGGAGGCGUGGGCCAACCACAGGAUCAAGGUCAAGCACACGAGUCAUGUAUGAUGCAAGCUUGUCCCUGACUUGAUAGGCACUCGCAGCAUCAGGCCCGCUUCGCAUGAGCCCAGCUGCACCAAUGACAUGAGAGGCAACAAAGUCAUCAACAUUCAGAUCAGAGGGGUUGUACACGUCCCCAGUACUCUCAAUGAAAUUUUGCAGUGCACAUAGAACUGUUGCAACAUUUGCAGCGAAGGUGGGGUUGAAGAGCCUGCUGUUUUUGAGGAUUGGGAAACGCUUCUUGAGCCUGCCAAAUGCACAU